rnacentral:rRNA from 1 species
CUCGGGUUACCGAAUUCAGACAAACUCCGAAUGCCAAUUAAUUUAACUUGGGAGUCAGAACAUGGGUGAUAAGGUCCGUGUUCGAAAGGGAAACAGCCCAGACCACCAGCUAAGGUCCCAAAAUAUAUGUUAAGUGGAAAAGGAUGUGGCGUUGCCCAGACAACUAGGAUGUUGGCUUAGAAGCAGCCAUCAUUUAAAGAGUGCGUAAUAGCUCACUAGUCGAGUGACACUGCGCCGAAAAUGUACCGGGGCUAAACAUAUUACCGAAGCUGUGGAUUGUCCUUUGGACAAUGGUAGGAGAGCGUUCUAAGGGCGUUGAAGCAUGAUCGUAAGGACAUGUGGAGCGCUUAGAAGUGAGAAUGCCGGUGUGAGUAGCGAAAGACGGGUGAGAAUCCCGUCCACCGAUUGACUAAGGUUUCCAGAGGAAGGCUCGUCCGCUCUGGGUUAGUCGGGUCCUAAGCUGAGGCCGACAGGCGUAGGCGAUGGAUAACAGGUUGAUAUUCCUGUACCACCUAUA